UACGUAGGGGGCGAGCGUUGUCCGGAAUCACUGGGCGUAAAGCGCACGUAGGCGGAUCUUUAAGACAGGGGUGAAAUCCCAAGGCUCAACCUUGGAACUGCCUUUGAUACUGGGGAUCUCGAGUCCGGAAGAGGUGAGUGGAACUGCGAGUGUAGAGGUGAAAUUCGUAGAUAUUCGCAAGAACACCAGUGGCGAAGGCGGCUCACUGGUCCGGUACUGACGCUGAGGUGCGAAAGCGUGGGGAGCAAACAGG
rnacentral:rRNA from 1 species